CACAGGGGUGGACCGAGACGAAGGAGGAGGGGCAGCUUCGGGUGCCAGGCAGCCAGGGGCAUCGGCGAUGACAGGGCCAGCACCUUGCCGGGGCUCAGGGGUCCCAGACGCUCCUCCGUGCCAGGCCAAAGGGCAGUCCCUCCGG